rnacentral:rRNA from 1 species
UACGAAGGGGGCUAGCGUUGCUCGGAAUUACCGGGCGUAAAGGGCGCGUAGGCGGCACUGUUAGUCAGGCGUGAAAGUCCUGGGCUCAACCUGGGAACUGCGCUUGAUACGGCAGAGCUAGAGGAUGGAAGAGGGUCGCGGAAUUCCCAGUGUAGAGGUGAAAUUCGUAGAUAUUGGGAAGAACACCGGUGGCGAAGGCGGCGACCUGGUCCAUUACUGACGCUGAGGCGCGACAGCGUGGGGAGCAAACAGG